GUAUUAGAUGCGCAACACGCAAAGACAUUCUGAGACAUACGAAGAGUGUAUAAAAUCGCGAGCGCGACGACCGAGGUCAUCGCAGCCCACGCGGGAGUGCACAGGGUGUGUCGGAAAGAGCAAGGGCGAGCACUUGUCCCGAGGGACCAGCUACAACCCAAGCCUUCUGAAUUCGAUAAUGAUCCUUCCGCAGGUUCACCUACGGAAA
rnacentral:misc_RNA from 1 species